ensembl:lncRNA
AAAGCAAAAGCAAGAUGUAAGGCUGUCUCUCACCUUCCCAAGACCCAGACAGAGGGAAGGAGGAUCCCACAUCCAGAGGUGAAUUCCUGCCCCAGUAAUUAUCAGGAGGAGGACCAGGCAUACCCAGCUGGAUCCAGAUGAAGCCCAGCAGCCUCACAGAUGAAGUUUCACCUGGGUCAAUGGGAUAAAUAAAAUAAAUGGGUGGAAUCCCAUUUUAGAGCCGUAAGAGCAGGGAUCCCGCCUGGAGAUUCCAGAUGUCUGGAAGCCUAUCCACUCACCCCAGCUUGGUCACAGUAUAGCCUUGUGCCUUGGGGCAGACAUCUCCUUGAGGACCUCCUUUCCUUCAUUUGCAAAAGUAAGCACUGAGUUAGAUGCUCCCAUAUGUCCCCACUGUUUUAUGGUUCUACUUCUCUGUAACUCAAAUUUCCUCAUAUGUAAGAUCGCAUGAUAAUCUUCAUAGACUGUGAAGAUGAAAUGAUUUAAAUAGGCAAAGUAUCUAGAACAGUGUUGGGGACAAAGUAAGCAUUCAGAAUCUUUUAGUUAUCAUCCUAAUCAUCCCAAAUUAUCAUUAUCAUUACAGGACAAGAGUUGCCAAACAGAUGCUGGUCAAAAAGUGCUAGACAUGUCCUUCCUUUGAAAUAUAGUCUGAGAAAGGGAUCAAAAUCACCAAAUGAGGCUGACUUCCCCCCCCCCCCGACACACCCUGAGUUUUAAUUGCAUAAUCCUAAGUAAAGAAAGUCUGUAGGGGCUGGCAGUGUAGUCCAGUGAUAAGAGUGCCUGUUUAGAAAGCAUAAGGCUCUGGGUUUAAUCCCAGCACCCGAAGGAAGGAAGAAAGGAAGGGAGGGAGGGAGGGAAGGAGGAAGGGAAUGCUAAGAGUAGUAUACGUCCAGGCCAGGCAUUUAGGUCAGUGGCACUGUGAAAGGUCCUGAGUUCAACCCCCAGUACCAAAAAAAAAAAAAAAAAAAAAGUAAUAUAUGCCCAAAAGAAAAAUGACAGCAGGAAGAGACUUUCAUACCCUAUAAUCAUAAUAGCAUUAUUUACAAUAAUCAAAAGUAUAGACCAAAUAUCUGUAGCCUCCCCAUCAAAAUCCACAUGUUGAGCUGGGCAUAGUGAUACACCUAUAAUCCCAGCUACUUGGGAAGCUGAAGAAGGAGGAUUGCAAGUCUGAAGCCAGCCUGAAUAACUUAAUGAGGUCCUGUCUCACAAUAAAAUAAAAAAGGCUGGGAGUAUAGGUCAGUGUUAAGAGUGCUUGCCUAUCACGUAUGAGGGCUUGAGCUGAAUCCCUAAUACCAUCAAAAAAUUAAACAUGGCCGGGGAUUUAGCUCAAUGGUUUCACCGCCUGCUGCGCAAGCCCAAGGACCCGAGUUCGCUCCCAGGUACCAAAAAAAAAAAAAAAAAAAAAAAAAAUUAAAACAAAACCCAUGGGUUGAAAUCGUAACCCCUUAUGGUGAUGGUAAUUAGGAGAUGGGGCCUUCGGGAGAGGACUGGGUCUGAGGACGGUGGGGUCAUGCUUGAGAUUAAAAGAGGCCCUCAUAGAGUAAGCACUUCCGCCGCACCCUCCCUAACCACCAUCCGCUGUCCCUGGCUUUGGUCGCCUUGUCUCUGCUUUAGCGUCCCUCGCUCCUCACUGAAACGCCAGAGUCCAGGUCAAAUCAUCGUUCUCUACUUGAGUAUCAAAAUUGAGAGGUUUUAUGCCUCCUGCCUCAUUAGCACAAGGACCUGAGUUCAAUCCCUGGUACCAAAAAAAAAAAAAAAAAAAAAAACGAGGGGUUUUAGAUAAACAUUUUUA